rnacentral:misc_RNA from 1 species
ACUGGCUCAUUCUGAGUCACAUCCUUCGCUGAUAAACUAUCCAUGACAGCUGAUGGAACAUCUGUUUCCCGUGAUGCAUGGGCAUCCGUGCUACUCUUUAAUACUGUGCUGCCAGAUAUCUCCACAUCCUUCUCAUCAUGCUGAUUUGCUGAUAAACUAUCCAUAGGAACUGGUGGAACAUCUGUUUCCCGUGAUUCAUGGGCAUCUGUG